rnacentral:rRNA from 1 species
GCAAUGGGCGAAAGCCUGACCCAGCAACGCCGCGUGAGGGAUGAAGUAUUUCGGUAUGUAAACCUCGAAAGAAUGGGAAGAAUAAAUGACGGUACCAUUUAUAAGCUCCGGCUAACUACGUGCCAGCAGCCGCGGUAAUACGUAGGGAGCAAGCGUUGUUCGGAUUUACUGGGCGUAAAGGGCGCGUAGGCGGCGCGGUAAGUCACUUGUGAAAUCUCUGAGCUUACCUCAGAACGGCCAAGUGAUACUGCUGUGCUAGAGUGCGGAAGAGGCAACCGGAAUUCUUGGUGUAGCGGUGAAAUGCGUAGAUAUCAAGAGGAACACCUGAGGCGAAGGCGGGUUGCUGGGCCGACACUGACGCUGAUGCGCGAAAGCCAGG